rnacentral:rRNA from 1 species
AUGAACGCUAGCGGCAGGCCUAACACAUGCAAGUCGAGGGGGAAGUUACUUUCGGGUGACUGAGCCCGGCGUACGGGUGCGUAACGCGUAUACAAUCUGCCUUUCACUGGGGGAUAGCCCGAAGAAAUUUGGAUUAAUACCCCAUAGUAUAUAGGGACGGCAUCGUUUUUAUAUUAAAGCUUAGGUGGUGAAAGAUGAGUAUGCGUUCUAUUAGCUAGUUGGAGAGGUAACGGCUCCCCAAGGCGAUGAUAGAUAGGGGUUCUGAGAGGGAUGUCCCCCACACUGGUACUGAGAUACGGACCAGGCUCCUACGGGAGGCAGCAGUGAGGAAUAUUGGACAAUGGUCGGAAGACUGAUCCAGCCAUGCCGCGUGCAGGAUGAAGGUCUUAUGGAUUGUAAACUGCUUUUGUAAGGGAAGAAUAAGGGCUACGCGUAGUUUGAUGACGGUACCUUACGAAUAAGCAUCGGCUAACUCCGUG